GGGCGUGUAGCUCAGUUGGUAGAGCGUUCGCUUAGCAUCUCGUCGUCUUCCAGAACACGAUCCGUGAUGCGAAAGGUCCUGGGUUCGAUUCCCAGCCCGUCCA